ACAGCAUCCUGCUCAACCGCAAACGGUCGUUGCGAGUGCAGGUGGCCAGGUGCAAGAGCCGCAGAAGAGCUGACUCGGUGGCAGCAGCUGCGCUUUUGGAUUAGAGAGAAUCUGACGCCUAAUGGCAGUGCAACUAAGGUCCAAGAAUGGUGGCGCCUCAACAAGGCUGAAUAUCCCCAUAUCUUCAGA
rnacentral:misc_RNA from 1 species